AAGAAAGUGACGGAGUGGUUACGUGGCCGGCUUGAAACCGGCACAUGGGGGUUCAAUUCCUCCCUUUCUCG
rnacentral:tRNA from 1 species